GACGAACGCUGGCGGCGUGCUUAACACAUGCCAGUCGAACGGGCCCGCUCUCUUUUUUGGGGGUGGGUUGAGUGGCGAACGGGUGAGUAUCACGUGAGUAACCUGCCCCCUGCUCCUGGAUAACUGCUUGAAAGGGCGGCUAAUACGGGGUGUGCCGGCUGGUCCGCAUGGGCCUGGUCGGGAUAGUUUCAUCUUCGGGUGUUUCGGUGGGGGAUGGGCUCGCGGCCUAUCAGCUUGUUGGUGGGGUGAUGGCCCACCAAGGCGGUGACGGGUAGCCGGGCUGAGAGGGUGGGCGGCCACACUGGGACUGAGACACGGCCCAGACUCCGGCGGGAGGCAGCAGUGGGGGGUAUUGCACAAUGGGCGGAAGCCUGAUGCAGCGACGUCGCGUGAGGGAUGGAGGCCGUCGGGUGGUGAACCUCUUUCUCCGGUGGUGAAGGCCCUGUCCGUUGCGGCGGGGUUGACGGUAGCCGGGGAUGAAGCGCCGGCUAACUACGUG
rnacentral:rRNA from 1 species